GAUGAACGCUGACAGAAUGCUUAACACAUGCAAGUCUAUGAGAAGAUCUACUUCGGUAGAAGGUAUCAUGGUUUUCGGACGGGUGAGUAACGCGUAAAGAACUUGCCUCUUAGACUGGGAUAACAGAUGGAAACGUCUGAUAAGACUAGAUAUAAUAGCAACAUGGCAUCAUGUUGUUAUGAAAGGUAACACUAAGAGAGAGCUUUGCGUCCUAUUAGUUAGUUGGUGAGGUAAUGGCUCACCAAGACGAUGAUAGGUAGCCGGCCUGAGAGGGUGAACGGCCACAAGGGGACUGAGAUACGGCCCUUACUCUUACGGGAGGCAGCAGUGGGGAAUAUUGGACAAUGGAGGAAACUCUGAUCCAGCAAUUCUGUGUGCACGAAUGAAAGGUUUUCGGAUCGUAAAGUAGCUUUCAGUAGGGAAGAAGAAAAGUAGACGUACCGUAACAGAAGAAGCGACGGCUAAAUAACGUGCCAGCCGCCGCGGUAAAACCGAACACU
rnacentral:rRNA from 1 species